rnacentral:rRNA from 1 species
UACGUAGGGGGCAAGCGUUGUCCGGAAUCAUUGGCGUAAAGAAGCUCGUAGGCGGCCGGUUGCGUCUGCUGUGAAAUCCCGGGGCUUAACCCCGGGCGUGCAGUGGAUACGGGCUGGCUGGAGGCAGGCAGGGGAGAAUGGAAUUCCCGGUGUAGCGGUGAAAUGCGCAGAUAUCGGGAGGAACACCGGUGGCGAAGGCGGUUCUCUGGGCCUGUGCUGACGCUGAGGAGCGAAAGCGUGGGGAGCGAACAGG